AUAAUGUGGUGGCUUCUCUCCCUUAGGUGGCUUGCCAACUGGGGUUGGUGGCUUGUGUUCAGGAAGUGGUUUCUCUCCCAUGGGAGGUUUAGCAAUUGGGGUUGGUGGCUUGUGUUCUGGGAGUGGCUUCUCUCCCUUGGGAGGUUUAGUAGGUGACUUGUGUUCUGGAGGUGGCUUCUCCACCGGAGGCUUGUGCUCCGGUGGUGGCUUCUUGGUUGGAGGGGGCUUGGGGUAAUCAGCAAGAGAUGGGGUGGUGAGAACCACCAGUCCAAGGAACAACACUAGCAAGUAUGUGGGAGACAUUUUUGAGUUUGGGCUGAUCAGAUGAUGCAAAACUAAAGCAUUACGUGACCUUUUAUAGCAUGUAGCUCCCAAUACCCACUAAGUAUUGUGGGGUCCAUUUGUGCCCUACGGGGUUGAAAACUUAGACAAUUGGGCAAGGACCCACCUGACUAUGGAGGACUAGUGAGGUGUGAUCAUAGCUUUAGGAUUUUUCUUCCUCUGCAGCCGUCGUGCCGUUGGCAUGAUUUUCUUAAUCUUAAAUAAAGGCAUAGUUAUAGAGUUGUUUAAUCUCUAAAUGGGAUUUUAUAUAUAUCUUCAGAUAGCCAUUAAUAUAUUUGAUGAAGAAAGAAAGACAAGUGCAUACAACAUGUAUACGACUAGCUUUCAUGGAGUUCAUUUAUGAUCAGUUUUCCUGUACAUGUAAACCAGGAUCAUAUAUAUGUUUCUGUUCCACAACUAUUUUGGAAUCUUGUUUAUCAGUUUUUAUCAUUAUAAUGUCACAUAGGCUGCCAACUUGGGCGCUAAAAGAACCAGUUGGGCUAGUUCGUUUCAGAAUUUCAAUGUGGAUUCAGGAAUUGUUUUGUAAGAUAUGCGAAAUAGUAGAGGGAUGAAUAGUGUUUCAUUAAUAAAAGUGUCCUGUAAAUUAGAAGGUGUCAUAGAAACUAUAAUCAAUAAAUAACUUUUUUUCCCCACGGGUGGUGUUUCUUGUGGGGAUCAGUGACUGGUUUAGGUUCACCCAAAAUGAGUUCAGACUAAAAUUGGUUUGAGUCAAUGCCGUGUCUCUUUUUUCCAGAAAUCAACUAUUUUAUGCAUUGAAUAAAUCAUACAAAGAAAAUAUGAACGCCCGCAAAACCUAAACCCUGGUUGCUAACUUUCUAUGUUUCAGUUCUAUUCACGCAAGAAUAUUAGUUUAAGUUUGGGAAAAAUGGCAACUUACCUAGUGAUUACUUGGUUUUGGUUUGCGACUAUUUACGCAACCAACCAUGAGUUUGACUUUAACGUCAUGGGUUGAAGCCUCCUACAGGAAGGGAGAAAGCUCCACAGCUAGCUCCAAAAGAGAAUUAUCACAUUGAUAGCUCCAGAGAUUCCCAAGGGGACUGAAUCAAAGACAAGUUCCUCACUUUUUCUUCUUUUGAGGCCAAAUAUGAACCAAGGAUCACACAACCUCAUUCAACUUCAUAAGUUUGAUUUCAUGCAGUUGAACACUGGGUGAAGGCCAUGACAAGAAUUGAUUCAAAAAUUCUAUCACUCUUUUAAGUAAUGGAAGAUUAUUAUCUCUGAUUGGCAUCACAACAGCACAUGCUCCUAGAUCUUUCUAGACACUCCAUGCAAUGAAAGCACAAUGGAUCUUGUAACGAUAGAAACUAAGCCAUGCUACAGUACUAGAUGAUGAGGUAAAACUAGUAGACACGGGUGGCAGCCUAUAUGGGAGGGACACAAGUCUAAUUGAUUUGCAUUUCAGCAUUAUAGAUAGGUAUGUUUUGGAAGAUUUGUUCUGGAAAUACCGCACCAAGUAGGAUUCUUUUUCUCUUUAGUGGGUCCACUUGCAUGCCAAUUAACGAGUUGAAAAGUAUGAGCACCUACCUCGUGCUCGUGGAACCGAAGGUCAGUGAAGUGGGGCUCCUUUUGGCCUCGUGUAAACUUGAUUCAGAAGUGAAGUUAAUAGUCUUCCAUUCAGAUGGAUACAUGGGAAUUUUUCUCUUUUAUUUAUUUAUUUAUUUUUUUUUUGUGUGUGUAUGUCAAAGGAUAAUGAAUGAAGCGCGUUAGCUUGUUUUCUGACUGGAACCGCAGAUGUCCAAAUUGGAGUUCCUUCAUUUCUUACUUAGGAUUGUUACAUGUAUAAACAAGGUAUAAGAAAUAUGCCAACGUGUCUUGAGGAGUUAUUGAUUAGAAAUAACAAGUCACCCGACUGUAGAGUUCCAAGAUUUGAAUCUUCAGACCCUAUAGCAGCCUCUGGGGUACGUGGCAUCCUAUAGCAUAUUAAUGAAGGCUUUUUCGAUUUAGACUUCACAAUACCAAUUAAUAUGUAUGCACAAAAUGGAGAUGACCCCAAAAAAAACAGAAUCGCCAUAGUUUAUGAGGUUAAGGUGAUUCUCCACUUAAUAUCUACAUUAGCUAAUUAUGUAAAUCAAAUGAACUUCUAUUUUUCCUUUUUUUUUUUGGUUUAUGUCAAAUAGUAGCCCAUAAUUAACCCAACCAUUAGCCUGUUUGAAUUGAUUUCACAUGCACAAUGUUGUAGUAGUUCAUAUUUUGAAUUUUAUUUUUACAAAGGUAGUUAAGGAAAAUGAAGUAUAAUAAUUAUAAAAGCAGACUAUAUACACUACAAUAAUUGUUAGAAUGGUAUCUCAAAUUCUAAUUUAAAAUAUUAUUUUUUGUAAAAGAAAUAUUAUAUAGAAUAUUUCCUAAUUUUAUAAAUGAUUAUAAUUAGAUCUUUAUAAAAUAAGGAAAGUUGGUAAGAAUAUCUUUAUAAAUAUUUUAGGUCAUGAGAGAAAGAAAUGGGAUAAAAAUGUGAUGAAGAGGUGAAAUAAGAGAGUUGAUUAGGAUAUAGAUGUGAAGAAGAAAGGGAUUCAAUAUAUAUAUAUCUUUCAAUUACCACAUUAAAACCCUGUGAACCUUUUAUAUGGUUUACUUUAUUUUUAUAUUCCUCCUUUAAUAUAUUUACAUUAAUGCUUCCAUUGGCACAACAAUAACGAAUUACAAAUACAAGCAACAAGUCCCAUGUUUUAUUACCAAAAGCAGGUAAAAUCCACCUAAUAUAUUACAAUAUAUUCAUCCAAUAUUUUAGACCAAUUCUUCACCAUAAAUAUCAUAAUGUGGCUUUUGUUCUUUCUUAAAUUUAAAUUGAAUUGUCUUAUAUCAAUUUGUUUGUGAUUUUUUCAUUAACUUCACUUUCAUUUGGUUAUCUUUGGUUUUUGAAAAGUAUUAAGGAAUUAAUUAACAAAAUAAUGUUAAGAAAAAUAAUUUUCUCUCUUUUGAUUUUGAUUUUGUAGUAGAAAAAUAUAAUUAAAAUUAUUUAAAAAGUAUGUAAUUUUAAAUUAUUUAAUAUUUAGAUAAAAAAAAUAAGUCUAAUGAGUUUAAAAUAACAUAUAAAAAUAAUUUAUUUAUUUUAAAUUUAUUUUUUAUUUUCCAUUAUGUUCUCUUUCUCUUUUACUUUUUCAUAUUUUUUCUUACGAAGAAUCAAACACAACCUCAUAUUAUAUGUCAAGUGUUUGUCUAUAUUUGAGCAAUGUUAGAUACGGCCAUGGAUUCAUCAAACUAAACUGAUUUUAAUAGAUACUUCACAAAUUGAUUUAUACACUAAAUCAUUGGAUAGCAAUGAUGCAUUGGAAUUAAACGUAGGAUGAAGCUCGAAGAACACUGUUUGUGUAACAACAUAUUUAUGAAAUUAUGCAAAGGAUGAGCUUCGGGGUAGUAGUACAAGGUCAUUAAUGGAGAGCCGUGUUAAACCUUGAUUGUGAUUGGAUUCCGUUAUCAGCAACAGCAACCUUGUUUGUAACCUUGAAAGUCAUUCUGUCCACAUCGAAACUCCAAUUUGACGUUUGUAAUUACCAUUCCUGGAGUGUUCCUUGAUUGAAAUUUAAAUAAUAAUUGCGGCCCACAAGGAAUAUUUUCGAUUCUGUGGGAAUUUGACAAGGUUUGUUAGAGAAGACUGGUGACAUGUUGACUUCAAUGGUUCAAAUAGGAGACGUAUGUGGAUUUGGGGGGUUUAAUUGAAACUGAGUCCCUAUGGCUUUUUAAUAUUUGCAUUGAGCAGUCUCCAUGUGACUUCCUAAUUCCCACCAACCCUCCUGUCCAUGCUGUGAAACUAAAUUGUAAUUUAUCAGCCUUUGUCAAUGGUUUCUAAAUUAAAGAUAUAGACCAUGCAUGUACUUUAAUAAAAGCAAAUCUAAAGUGUAGAUAGCAGCAAUGGUGACACCCAAUAUUCUCCAUAAAAUAGAAUUAGAAUAAGCAGUGUUACAUUGUUCAUGAUCACCUACAAGCAUACAAGAACUUCCAUGAAUAACUCAUAGCAAUUGCCAACAGGGCGUCGUAGAGACUCAUACAUAGAACACUAUCCACCCAGAGGAAAGGACAAGACCAGUGCGCUGCAGCUCUUAUUUUUCACAUGUAUACCACCACUCGUAAUAACCAAAUUCACUCAGUUGGGAUAGGUGGGAGAUGGUGGUUUGUGGGGUGGCUUGUGGGGAGGAGUUGGAGGAGGCUUUAUUUUCUGAGGCGGCUUGUAUGAGUGUGCAGGAGGAUGCCCGGGAGUGUGACCAUAAUGUGGUGGCUUCUCUCCCGUAGGUGGUUUGCCAAAUGGGCUUGGUGGCUUCUCUCCCUUAGGAGGUUUACCAAUUGGGGUUGGUGGCUUGUGUUCUGGGAGUGGUUUCUCUCCCUUGGUAGGUUUGCCAAUUGGGGUUGGCGGCUUAUGUUCUGGGAGUGGCUUCUCUCCCUUGGGAGGUUUGCUAAUUGGGGUUGGCGGCUUAUGUUCUGGGGGCGGCUUCUCUCCCUUGGGAGGUUUGCCAAUUGGAGUUGGCGGCUUAUGUUCUGGGAGUGGCUUUUCUCCCUUGGGAGGCUUGCCAAUUGGGGUUGGCGGCUUAUGUUCUGGGGGUGGCUUCUCUCCUUUAGGAGGUUUGCCAAUUGGAGUCGGCGGCUUAUGUUCUGGAAGUGGCUUUUUUCCCUUGGGAGGUUUGCCAAUUGGGGUUGGCGGCUUAUGUUCUGGGGGUGGCUUCUCUCCCUUGGGAGGUUUGCCAAUUGGAGUCGGCGGCUUAUGUUCUGGGAGUGGCUUCUCUCCCUUGGGAGGUUUUGUUGGUGGCUUGUGUUCUGGAGAUGGCUUCUCCCCUGGAGGCUUGUGCUCCGGAGGUGGCUUCUGAAAUGGCGGGGGCUUGGGGUAAUGAGCAAGAGAUGGAGUACUG
rnacentral:lncRNA from 1 species